GGAAAUUAAGGCUGCUUUUAUCUGUUCUCAUGAACUCCUUGUUAAAAAUGGGUUAAACAAAAGCCAAAUCUGUUCUAACAGUGUAUAGCAAUUCCUAGAGGCGUCGGUCUGGUUGGCCAGUUAAUUCUAUGAGUCUUCAUCGGAGUGGCUCUCUGAUUCGGGAUUUGCCACGCCCUAAGAGCUGUCUUAACCGCUCUGUGUUCUGCUUGUGCCAGAUGCUGCUGGAGCUGUUUUACAUCGAUUAUUCCUUUUAAUCCUCACAGGGAUCUCCUGCAGUACAUCUGGUACUAUCAGAUCUAUCAAGAGAGACUCGGCUUAGGCAAUGCAUCCAGCAUCCUACAGAUAGUAAAUGGGGAUGCCAAAUCCAUAUUGAGGUCAGUCUGACACAGGAGUCUGAGUUCGUAAUAGCCCUGUAAUGAGGGGAUAUCAAUGGAGUGUGAAGUCUCAUCCAGAUGUUUGCAUAUACUUUUGAUUCAGCAAAUGCUUGUUUUAUAAUCAUUGUGUAUCUGUAUGUCUUAGACUUAGCAAGGUGGCUUGAGGCAAACAAAUAUGGAUCUGACAGGGAUGCUGCAGUGUGGUUCGAAAGAUAACAUGCAUACCCAAAAAUUGAUGGAGCUCAAUGAUGUAAUGAAGUUCUGGGGUUCCGCGUGUUAUUUUUAAAAACAUAACUGAUGUGAGGGCAGGUGCCACUCGGGAGAUUGAAGCAAGAGGAUCACAAGUUCAAGGAGAGCCAGUGAGUUUCGCUGGUAUCUGUGUCAGCCAGGGUCUCCUCAUUCCAGAAGAAGAACUGCAGGGGUCUGGGGUAUCCUUGUGUAUCAACCAGGAAAUGGAGAAGCCUGUUCUAAGUUCACUUGAAGCCAAAUUACAAAGGAGCAGACGGGAUCCCAGAAACAAAGAUGGCACCAG
rnacentral:lncRNA from 1 species